UAGAUCAGUGUGGCCUCUAAGAUCUACCC
rnacentral:piRNA from 1 species